rnacentral:rRNA from 1 species
UACGUAGGUGGCAAGCGUUGUCCGGAUUUAUUGGGCGUAAAGCGAACGCAGGCGGAAGAAUAAGUCAAAUGUGAAAGCCCUCGGCUUAACCGGGGAAUUGCAUCGGAAACUGUUUUUCUUGAGUGCAGAAGAGGAGAGUGGAACUCCAUGUGUAGCGGUGAAAUGCGUAGAUAUAUGGAAGAACACCAGUGGCGAAGGCGGCUCUCUGGUCCGUAACUGACGCUGAGGUUCGAAAGCAUGGGUAGCGAACAG